AUUGAACGCUGGCGGCAGGCCUAACACAUGCAAGUCGAACGAGUGGCGGACGGGUGAGUAAUGUCUGGGAAACUGCCUGAUGGAGGGGGAUAACUACUGGAAACGGUAGCUAAUACCGCAUACCAUCGGAUGUGCCUAGAUGGGAUUAGCUAGUAGGUGGGGUAAAGGCUCACCUAGGCGACGAUCGCUAGCUGGUCUGAGAGGAUGACCAGGCACACUGGAACGGAGACACGGACAAGACGCCUACGGGAGGCAGCAGUGGGGAAGAGUGGACAAGGGGCGCAAGGCUGAUGCAGCCAUGCCGCGUGGAUGAAGAAGGGCUGCGGAUGGUAAAGUACUUUAAGCGGGGAGGCGUUACCAAAAGAAGAAGCACCGGAGAACUCCGUGCCAGCAGCCGCGGUAAUAC
rnacentral:rRNA from 1 species